GUGCUACGUAUGUCUAUCCCCAAACUCCAAAAAGCUGCAACAAAGAGAGAAAGACAUUAUGAUUGGAGAUGUUGGUUGGCAUCUUGGCAAUUGUCAUUCAAUAAAGAUUAAGUUACAAGACCAUGGAAAUCAUUUUGUUCACUUUGGAUUGGAACGAAGGUCUUCCAAUCAAAAGCACAAAGAGAUGCUAAUGCUACUACUGCGGGACUGUGAAAGAUAUUACAACUGGGUAAAGAUAUAUAAACGGAAGCUGUCCUAGCUACAGUUACAAUGGUGGUGGUGCUGAAGGUGAAAAUGCAACACGCACAGUAGAAUGCCCAUCACUUUUGGAACCCUCCCACACUGUGUCGAUAAUGUAAAGAAAAGAUGAAGGCUGAGGAAAAAUCUCGAUCUCUCUGUGGCACGUGUCAACAAAUGAAGCAAGGGCAAAAUGUACGUGUCAACAAAUGAAGUAAGGGCAAAAUGACCAAAAGACCAACAAAUGUGCCACGUGUCAAACUCCUAGGACCCAAAAAAUUUACGUCAAUAAUUCAAAGGAAAUUGCAAGAACAUCAGGAAAGAAGAGGGCAGUGUUUAAGUCAAUGUGAGAGAGGUAAAAAUUUUGAAUUGCUUUGAAGAGAACUACGAUAACGUUUUUUUA